rnacentral:lncRNA from 10 species
GCCCCAGCUGCAUUUUUUUUAAAGACAGCUAAAAGAAGGACUUGAGGUUUUUAGCAGCAGACAUUCCUAAUGCCUCCCAAGUCAGAAUAGGUAUUCUCUGCCACUCAUGCACAAACACACAUACCAAAAUAUGCACAAAGCUGCCUGCGUUUAACUGUUAUCAAAUCUAAGAUCUAGAACAGUACUUUUCAGCUACCUGUUUCUGCCCCCUAAGAAGACAGAGGGUAGGUCACUGUAAGAGUUCACUAUACACAGGGGGUGCAUAUGUAGAAUUCCAAGGCAGUUUACCCACACAGCCACCUCACACAUAAAAAUAUGACCACUGUUUGCUUUAAUUAUUCACCCUUUCUGCUACCAAGAACUUUAAACUAUCAAAAUUAAACAAAAACUGAUUGCACAAUGAUCAGAAAAUGAGCAGCUUUGUUUGCCUUAAGUAGAGACUAGUUUCAAAAUCAGUUUAAGGCUUUACAUAAAUAUUCUAAAUAGAAUAAUAGCUGUUUACCACCCCAAAAAUAAGAAAGCCUAUCUCACAGUUGUGCGGAAUAAAUAAGACAAUGUUUCCUGUAGCUACUAGGACAAGGGCCUGCCAAUAACUUAGGACCACGGCCAUCUCUUUAUUCAAUGCCCUACCCAUCACUCCAUAAUCCUGCUAUUCCAUGACUGUAUUCAGGCCUGGUCUGUCAUGACUUGGCACCAGAUAAGCUAUCUUAAAAAUGGCUCUUCUUCCCCGAUCAGGCCCAGCAAUCAGGCUAACCAGCUAAAUCUUAAUGGCAAAGGUCUUUUAUUCCCCACCUAGAGACCCUACAUUGAUUUAUACAAAAUGUCUACUGGAUGCCGAGUUCCAACAAAACUUAUUGCAUUUAUAGCAUUCCAUGGAUUUAACUCAAAUUGGCCUCUUAUGACAAACUCGUAAGCAGUGUGCAUUUAAAAUCUCAGUUAUCCAUAAAUCUUAAUGAUGUAUUUCAUAUUAAAAUGAGAGAUAUAACAGUUUCAGCUUCUGAGUACUUUCUAAAAUAACUGACCUAACCCCCAAGCUUUUUAUGUUUUUGUUUUUACAUUUUGAAUAAAAAUCGUUCUAACAUAUGGUUGAUCUUCCUCACUCUGCUGUCAGUGUGCACCACCCUCAGAACCCUACUCCGUCACCCCCUAUUCCUCUAAGACAACAGCCCCCUGGCCAGGCACCCACACUGCUCCCACCCUCUCAUCCUGAGACCAGAUGCUGUCGUUAGAAGUAUGCCUGGAACACCUGACAGGCAUCAGGCCACUCCAAAUUGCUACCGCUUUAGGUCAUCUCUACCACCCUUUCUCUACUUUUCCUUUUUUUUUUUUUUUGAGAUGGAGUCUCACUCUGUCACUCAGGCUAGAGUUCACUGGUGUGAUCUCCACUCACUGCAACCUCCACCUCCCAGGUUCAAGCAAUUCUCCUGCAUCAGUCUCUAGAGUAGCUGGGAUUACAGGCAUGUGCCACCAUGCCUGGC